GACGAACGCUGGCGGCGUGCUUAACACAUGCAAUUCGAACGGAAAGGCCCUGCUUUUGUGGGGUGCUCGAGUGGCGAACGGGUGAGUAACACGUGAGUAACCUGCCCUUGACUUUGGGAUAACUUCAGGAAACUGGGGCUAAUACCGGAUAGGAGCUCCUGCUGCAUGGUGGGGGUUGGAAAGUUUCGGCGGUUGGGGAUGGACUCGCGGCUUAUCAGCUUGUUGGUGGGGUAGUGGCUUACCAAGGCUUUGACGGGUAGCCGGCCUGAGAGGGUGACCGGCCACAUUGGGACUGAGAUACGGCCCAGACUCCUACGGGAGGCAGCAGUGGGGAAUAUUGCACAAUGGGCGGAAGCCUGAUGCAGCAACGCCGCGUGCGGGAUGACGGCCUUCGGGUUGUAAACCGCUUUCGCCUGUGACGAAGCGUGAGUGACGGUAAUGGGUAAAGAAGCACCGGCUAACUACGUGCCAGCAGCCGCGGUGAUACGUAGGGUGCGAGCGUUGUCCGGAUUUAUUGGGCGUAAAGGGCUCGUAGGUGGUUGAUCGCGUCGGAAGUGUAAUCUUGGGGCUUAACCCUGAGCGUGCUUUCGAUACGGGUUGACUUGAGGAAGGUAGGGGAGAAUGGAGUUCCUGGUGGAGCGGUGGAAUGCGCAGAUAUCAGGAGGAACACCAGUGGCGAAGGCGGUUCUCUGGGCCUUUCCUGACGCUGAGGAGCGAAAGCGUGGGGAGCGAACAGGCUUAGAUACCCUGGUAGUCCACGCUGUAAACGGUGGGUACUAGGUGUGGGGUCCAUUCCACGGGUUCCGUGCCGUAGCUAACGCUUUAAGUACCCCGCCUGGGGAGUACGGCCGCAAGGCUAAAACUCAAAGGAAUUGACGGGGCCCCGCACAAGCGGCGGAGCAUGCGGAUUAAUUCGAUGCAACGCGUAGAACCUUACCUGGGUUUGACAUGGAUCGGGAGUGCUCAGAGAUGGGUGUGCCUCUUUUGGGGUCGGUUCACAGGUGGUGCAUGCCUGUCGUCAGCUCGUGCCGUGAGAUGUUGGGUUAAGUCCCGCAACGAGCGCAACCCUUGUUCACUGUUGCCAGCACGUUAUGGUGGGGACUCAGUGGAGACCGCCGGGGUCAACUCGGAGGAAGGUGGGGAUGACGUCAAGUCCUCAUGCCCCUUAUGUCCAGGGCUUCACGCAUGCUACAAUGGCUGGUACAGAGAGUGGCGAGCCUGUGAGGGUGAGCGAAUCUCGGAAAGCCGGUCUCAGUUCGGAUUGGGGUCUGCAACUCGACCUCAUGAAGUCGGAGUCGCUAGUAAUCGCAGAUCAGCAACGCUGCGGUGAAUACGUUCCCGGGGCU
rnacentral:rRNA from 1 species